GUUAUUCGAAUUCGAGAAGAUUUUAUUUUGAUAUUCGAUCGAUUCGAAAGGUUGCUGAUUCAAUCGAAAGUUCAUUCAAAAAAAAAAAAACUAAGUAAAUUUUGACUUUCGAGUGAUUCGAACCAAAUGUCAUUUUUGUGUCGUUCAGAUAUUUUCUGGUGAAUAGCUGAAGAAAGAUGGCACAGUCACAUUCAAAUUGGACAAAUAGGGAACAAAAAGAAAUCCUGAUAAGGUUGAUGGAGGAGAAUCCGCAGAUAGCGAAGGGUAUUUCUGUAAACCGUAUAGAUGUUGACCGGUUUUGGAGAGAUGCUGCCGUGAAGCUCAAUAGCCAUGGGCCUCCAUCUAAAGACGGUGCUACGGUAUGGACAAAGAAGUUCCCCCCUGUAUCUCGAUGGAAAGCUCAUCCAUGACAUAUUUAAAUGCCCGUUUAUUGAGGCGAAAGUUCCUUACAAAUCUACAAAACAAAAUCAAUUUAGUCACCAGGAUUUAUUUUUGCAAUAGAAAAAUUUCACAUCAAUUUUAUAGGUACUUACUUUAAAUCGUCAAACUCAAACGGAUUUGAUGCGUCCAUAAUCCU